UCUCUGCUUAAUAAUGAGCUCGAAGGAUAGGUUUCAUAAAACAAAACUGGUCUCCAGCAGAGAUGUUCUGCUAGCAGUGGGUAACAACGCUGUUUAGUACCAAAACUAAAAUCAAGAAGAAACAUGAGUAAUUAAUUCCCAGAUGUGUUCCUAUGAAGAUGUGUGUUGCAGAUAAUGCAAGGCAUCCAUUAAUUUCUCAGCCCUUUGGACACCUUAGUAGAAGUGAAAAAAGGCUGCCUCUUCUGGGCAGCCCCAGGCACAAAAUGGGCCCAUUUUGGCCCUCUGCUAGGAGAGGAGUCUGUCAAGGGAGAGGCAAGGUGACAGAGUCCCUACUACUGAAAUAUUAGCAAGAAAUUGAAAUUGUAUACAGAGGUCCAUCUCUGUCUAUAGUACUGUCUGUGACAGAGAAAAAGAAUUAUAUUAACUUGAAGGUUAAAGGGGAUCAACAAAUAUUUGAGAAUGCAUGAGGCUGGGACUCAACACAGUGGAAGCAUUCUCAAGGGUCUGAAAAUAUGAAGAUAAACGCUUAAACUAAGGAUCUGGAAAGGACUUGACAGGUGUCCAAUCUGAAACGCAUUUAAGAUACACCCCCAUUGCCCUUUUCUGCUACAAAUUUCAAGUCAAAUUGGCUAAUUAUGGAGUAACCCAAAAACCUGGAGGGUGGAAAACUAUCCCUUUAAGAAGAUACAACUGCAAGACAAAGAAUUUACUGUGGGAGGGUAACCGUUGGCAAAUGCGUGGCGGCCCCUGGAGAAGGUGCGGGCGUCCUCCAGGGGGCAGGAGUUGAAAGGCCAUUAUCCACCUGAGGGAACAGAACCUCGAAUCUGAAUCCGAGGCUGCGUUUUGGCUUCUGGAGCCUGGGUUGUAGGUGUCCCCGUGGUUUGUGAGUUACCGGUACCGGGAUAUUUUUGAGCCAGGACAGCCAGGUCCCAGUUAAGGUCUUUACGACAUCAUACUUAACACAGGACUUGGACUUAAGUUUGUUUAAGGCACUACGUUUGUUUUAUUAAAAGGGCUCUUCCAUCGUUUACUGGACUUACGUGAAGUAUUCGCGGUUUUCAAAAUUUUUUUAAAAUGUUCAAAUUUGAAUAAUUUUAGCCGAGUUUGAGAGUGAACAGUAUCUGUGCGCCCGCCCUUUAGAAUUUUCAAACAGGAUUGAGUAGCGCCCCUAAGGAGCUGCUUAAAGCCAACGCUGCUGAAAUGUGUUUGGCAGAAACUCCUGGUGCCCCGUGGUGGCAAAGGCUUCGGAAGGACGGCUCCCAAGCGCCCCCAAGGCUAAGCGACAGCACCCAGGGCAUCACCAAAUAGCUGCUGCAGCCAAGGGGCCCCUGGGUGCCUGGCAUACAACUGGCAAGUGAGACCUCUCACCAUGUCAGCCUCCCCACAUCCCUGUCUGCAGGGCCUGAUGGAGCAAGAUCGGAACAAAGCCGAUCCACAGGGAACAUUACCACCUUGACUCCGUCAACCUUGUCUUGUUAUUGGCGGCCUACAAACUCCUGUAGGCCCUGGAGGGCUGCGUGACUCAGGCCGGGACCCUGGGGCAGCACCCGGAUGACUUCCAGGAGUCCCGCAGGUUCUUUCUCCCGUGACCCCACUGAUCCCACGUCCUUUGGCUGUUCAACAUAUCCUGUUCCUACAGGGCGCAUUUGGGAAUGCUCCCCUGCUCUCUCCUGGGGCUGCCCUUCUGAUAAUAAAGCUUUCUCUGCUUCAGACCUGUGACUCAGAGACUGGCUUCCUGCCCGCCGCGCUCAUGAAUCUGGAUUUGGGUUUGGUUUUUCUUGUCCUAUUUUACAUCCUAAAAAGCACCCAAGCAAAACAGGCCUGGCUGGCUGCCUGCCUGGGUCAUGCAGGCUGUUGGCUCUCCUUGGGAGCAGCUCUCGAUUUUGGGAAGGUGGUAUCCUUUGCACCCUUUUGGGGAACCCCUUCUGCCCAAGGGUGUCCAGCAAUACUUCUAGAAAUACUGUUUGCUCAGGGGGGAAACUGACAAGCUCUGCAGUCAGAAGUUGGCCAGACUGGAAGUGAUAUUUAGAGCCCGAGAGGGAUUUUUUUGGCCUUCUCCCCUAGGUUAA